GCAGCAGUUUGAACCAUGGUACGAAGUUGUGUAGUGUUGAGGAAAUUUUUACAAGCCUCAGAGCUUUGUUGAGAAUAACCUACAGAGCCACGUUGAAGGGCAAAGCGAAUAUUUCUGCCUUUUAUAUUGCCCGCUCUCCUCAAAAACAUUAAACUCAUUUUUUCUUCUUCUUCGCCUGAUACCGAAAAAGUUGGGGCUAGGUAAAAUAAAUAAUAGCGUCUAUCCAAACGGAUCUAGAGACGGCCGAGAUUAGAUAGCUGAUUGGUAACAACUACAGGGUGCUAAAUGGACAAGUAGGUUUGUUAAAGAACCGAGAUCAAUAGUGAUAAAGACUGACCACGUGGCCACCUUUAAUCCUGAGUACCAUUGGCAUAGCUUUAGUAGUAAUAGCAUAAAGAAAUUAGUUUGAACUCAUAAAGGAAGCUAAUUUAUCGACAUCAAUUUUUAUAAUUAUGAUUUUGACACUCAAAUUAUUAAACCGAUGUUGGAAAUAAGCGAUCAUCGCCUAAAACGUAUGUCAAUUUUUUCCCUUUUUAUAUUGCGACAGGUGUAAAUGAAUUUUGAAGAAAAUGAAAGGUUAGAAGGAAUAUUUUAGAAAACUAGGUUUCUUAACAUUCUCGAAAAAUGUUGGACAUUUAGAACGCAGUUGAGAUACAUGUUUAAAAACUCUCUCAAAAGUUGCAAAUGGCCUAUUCUUUUAGCAAUAAAAAAGCAUUCGUUAAAACACUAGGAGUAGGAGUAUAGAUUUUCCCGUGCAAUUUAAUGAAGAUUCAUAGGUUUGAGAUACGGUUAUUUGGUAAAGUUGUGGGCAAAGAAUAUAGAUUCUUACACAUGCGGUAAUCAGAUGAGUUUGAAAAUGCGCUGUUUGGUGUGAUUACCAUGUUUAAUUAUUGAAGAUUUAAUGCUUUGGUAAUUCCGGAUAGCUGGUUUUUCGCGAAAAUGUUUGAAAUCGGUGAUUUUGGAUAGUAUCUUAAAAAAUAAGAAAAUUGUCAGAAGAAGCACCUUCUUACGCGAAGCCUUAGUUUUAUCAUUUGGAACAUCUCAUGGCAAUGUUCAUUUUGAUUUAUAGAGCUACAGAUAUUAAAGGGUUUAAAAAAAGGGAUUGAUUGAUUCUUUUAUCCGUGUAAUGGAAAAGGAGGACUAGGGAUUUUUUUUUUGGCAAAUUACAUGACUUUCAAAUAUUUUAAAUGAAUUCUAUUAAACUUUUGUGUCGUUCGUGUGUGGUAAAAGGUGAGUUGUUGACGCCAAAAGGAAUCGUUAAUGUACGCGUUAUAUCUUGAGAAAUGUUUAAGAUUUAUCCCGACCUAUUAAUAUUAAUGAUUUGGAAAGGAAUUACAAAAGCUACGGAGUCACUUGAAAGGCUUUGAAGUAAGUCGAAUUGAAGAAUUAGCUUCACCUAAAGGCGGUACGAGUGAAGGUUAUAGAUUUCGUACUAGGCAUUUAAAACUAUAAGUAUUUCCUUUUUUGUUCAAACACUGACACAACUCGUUUAUACUAUGUCUCGUAAGUCUUUCUUGAAUAUAUAAAUGCUCACUUUCUGUUCGCUCUACUUUUCCUCCUUAAUACCUAAGUCUUAUACAUAAGCUAUUACUAUAGUUAAAAAUUAUCUAUAUUAUUCCUAAGGACCCAAUUGUGUUAACAAUAAUAUAAGAUGCUAAGUCUAGUAGUAGACGGUAACGUU
rnacentral:lncRNA from 1 species